ACCCUGCGCCUUCUAUGCGGCCAGUAGGCAACCAGCAACGGCGGCGAAUCUUUACGUGUAUACGGGAUUCUCACCCCCAAAAAUCAAAUUUCAAACAGAGCACAGAGGUGACAGUGUUUUGCGCGUCGAACCGAGUCUAAAAGUGUGUCAUAUGUGACUGUGAACCAUACAUGUAAUAGCGUGAUGGGUUGUGGGGAACUGGCUCCGAAAAAGCGUGCUAGUACCCUGAAUACAACAAUAAAACAACUUUCGGGUUUCAAAGCGUGUUCUGAGUAGUGUGAUCAGCUGGAUAGGAAAGUGAUGGAUUUCUGAUUCUGUAGUGAUUUAGUGCGUGGUUUUACAAAAAUAGUGUAACAUCAAAAAUUACUACAUCAAUCCUGCAAAUAAAACUACUUUUGAACAACAACCAUCCCCUCAAACAGACUUUCUAUUAGGAUGCUCUUCUUACAAUUGAAUCCCAAUCAUUUCUGAAAAGCGACGGGGUGGAGCAUCGAUCAGCGAGUGUCAUGACUGGAAAGAAAUAACGGCGACAUCGACCUCAACACAAAACCAGCGGUCUUUCCAUCGGAGCUCAAGCUUCUGCUACAGCUUGUAAGUAGUUGUUCAAAG